AGCUCAUCCAGAGGGACUGAGGGAACGGCCCAGUGAAGUCCCGGCAACCGCCACGAGCCUCCGCCACCCGGCACAUCGGGGAAACGGACGUGGAGACGGUGCCAAUUCCGCCCGGCGCGAGAGUCGCAGCCGGGGAAGAUGAGAA
rnacentral:ncRNA from 2 species